UGGGGAAUAUUGCACAAUGGGCGAAAGCCUGAUGCAGCGACGCCGCGUGAGGGAUGACGGCCUUCGGGUUGUAAACCUCUUUCAGCAGGGAAGAAGCGAAAGUGACGGUACCUGCAGAAGAAGCGCCGGCUAACUACGCGCCAGCAGCCGCGGUAAUACGUAGGGCGCAAGCGUUGUCCGGAAUUAUUGGGCGUAAAGAGCUCGUAGGCGGUUAGUCGCGUCUGCUGUGAAAACUCGAGGCUCAACCUCGGGCUUGCAGUGGGUACGGGCUGACUAGAGCGCGGUAGGGGUGACUGGAAUUCCUGGUGUAGCGGUGGAAUGCGCAGAUAUCAGGAGGAACACCGAUGGCGAAGGCAGGUCACUGGGCCGCAACUGACGCUGAGGAGCGAAAGCAUGGGGAGCGAACAGGAUUAGAUACCCUGGUAGUCCAUGCCGUAAAACGUUGGGCACUAGGGUGUGGGGGUCCUAUUCCAGCGGAUUCCCGUGCCGCAGCAAACGCAUUAAGUGCCCCGCCUGGGGAGUACGGCCGCAAGGCUAAAACUCAAAGGAAUUGACGGGGUCAUAGCUGUUU
rnacentral:rRNA from 1 species